ensembl:misc_RNA 7SK 7SK RNA
GGAUGUGAGAGCGAUCUGGCUGCCACAUCUGUCACCCCACUGGUUGCCAGGGUUGAUUUGGCUGAUCUGGCUGGCAAGGCGGGUGUCCCCUUCCUCCCUCACAGCUCCAUGUGCUUCCCUUUCCAAGCUCCUUUGAAGAAAAGGAUCGCCUUCCCAGUAUAAAGACAGACUGAUCUUCCGUUGAGGGUGUACAAGUAGCUGUGCUCCCCUGCUAGAACCUCCAAACAAGCUCUGGAGGUCCUAAAAACACAUAGAACAGAGUAAGAAUGCAGUCGCUUUCUCAUAAAAAUAAAAACUGA